UGAAAUAAAUAAAGAAAUUUGCCAUAAUUAUUUUGACCUAAUUAAUAAAGUAGUUUUUUUUUUUGUAAGAAAAAUAUAUGGAAAAAGAUGUUGUAGAAAGCCGAUGAACUACCUAUGUGGGCGACCUCUUCUUCUUCUGAAUCCAGUCAUGACGACGGAAUCCGGCCACGACGACGGUAAAAUGAUCGAGUCUUACUCCCGUGCGACGGUAAAAAAAGAUUGAAUCUAAGGAUUUUUAGGUUACUAAUUUUUCUUGUUUCUUUAACUGGUCAUUCCUUGUUCUUGAGUUGUUGAAUUAAUGUUUUGCUGAUAAUCGUACUCCCUUUCUUUUUAUGUUAAAGCUCGGUAAGAUGUCCAUGAUUCUUGAAUUCUUGAUUGAAGUUUCCGGUUCUUUACUUCUUGAAUUGAUGUUCCUUAAUUCGUUUUCUUCCCAUUGUUUUACUUGCUUGUUCACAUGGUUGUGGCCAGAUCAUUUCAGGUUAUGCACAUUGUAGUUUUUAGAGAAUCCUAGUCAAUUUUCUUUGGCAUGUAUCAGAAGAAUCAUCUCAUUCUAAAGUGUCUUUCUAGGAGGCACUUAGAAUGUGAAACUACUAUGUGAUGGAAGGGGGCUUGCUUUUCUUUCAUCAGCAUUGCAUUCAGCUUUACAAAUAUCUGCUAGAUCUCUUGUCAAUUGCCAAUGUGGCUGAGCAACAUGAAUGUGGGAUUUCUUAGGGCCUCUUCAAGUUAACGUGGAUGAUUCUGUGGAUGAUAUUGUGCGUCAAUUUCGAGGCGUUUCUGAUAGCUUGAUGCGUAAAGUUUUCGGCUAUCCUUCAUAUUCUUCUUAUGAACCUACUACCUCUACUUCAGACAUAAAUUUGUUUUGGAAUGUGGAGAAAUACAUAAACUGGCUUUAACACAAAGCAACUCUGAGUCAGUUAAUAGCUUCUCUUACAAUGAUAACGGUGAAAAGAUGGAAGCCACGGGGAUGAGGAAGUAGGACCUAGUUCAGAAGACAAUGGGUGGCAUUCGGACAAUGAGUUGAAUUCAAAAGGAUUUACCCCUUAGGUGGUUUAACGUGACGUAGAGCCAAUAAGUUCUGCGGUGGACUUGAAGAAUGGUUCUGUGCUCCAGCGUGAAUUCUUCAGUUCUGGAGGAUUCCCUGGAGACAAGUUUGGUAGUAGCUCCCAGUUAACAAGAGGUCCAGUUAACAAGAAAAUUCCCACAGCAUAUACAAAUUACAGGAAUGGAAAGCUACCUAGGAAGGUUUUCCGUAGGAAUCAGUUUAGCAAUAUGUGGUGGCCUGUAAGAUUGAUCAAAAUAGAAAAAGAUUUGUAUUUUCUGAAUGGAUAAGAGAAACUUAUCGAGGACAACAGUCUAAAGUUUGGAAACAUUAUAAUAUUCGAUUAUGAUAGAAUUGAAAUAGUUGACAUAAAAUUACUUGGACCAAAUGGAUGUAUAAAGAAUGAAGCUAAAAUGUGACAACAAGAAGGAAGAAGUGAAUAUUGAACAUCGACAGAGUAUAGAACCAAAAGAGAAAAAUAAGACUAGAGAUAACAACAAUAGCUCAUUUGAUGAUGAUAGCACUGAUAACUAACUAUAUGGUAGAAGAAGAAGAUAAUGAUGAAGAAGAGGUGGAAGAAGAUAAUGAACAAGAGGGGGAGGAGAAAGAAACAGAGGUGGAUGAAGGGAAAGAGGAGGAAGGAGAAUGAAAUAGAUGGAGAAGACACGUCAGCUUCAAAAGCUGGACGUCGAAAAGCUAUUACUUGCAAGGUGAGGAAUGUGCAUGACAAAUAUGGUGCAUAUAUAUUCAGAAGUGGACGCGCAACUCAGCCCAAAAAAUCCUUACUUUGUAGCAAAAAUGAGAAAUCAACUGUAUGUUCCAAUUGAUGUGGCGAGAGACUACAAACUUAAACUCCAUCCAACCAUGAUCAUUCGCGACUCUGUUGGAAGAGAGUUUGAGACAAAAGUCAAUAAUUGGAGUAAUGGAACAACAUGGCUGGUAGGCGGAUGGUGCAAUUUAUGGUGGUGGAAUCUUGUGGAAAAAGAUGACAGGUGUAUUUGUGAAUUUGUGAGGGAAAAAUGUGGCAGAGUCCUUUAAUUGCAAAUUCAAGUUCUCUAUGAAAGAUCAAAUUCUCAUUGCAACAAUAAAUAAAAGAAAUAGUUUAUUACUAUUUAUCAUAGCAUUUUAAUUUUUAUGGCCUUAAGUAUUAUUAUUAUGUAUUGACAAAUUUGAUGACUAUAAGCAUUGUUGUUUGUUGACAAAUUUUGAAGACUCAAAAUAUUGUUGUUUGUUGAAAUGAAAUGAAGGUUGUUUUAGUUAGUAUUAUUGAUCUUAUAAAAGAAUUGAGAAUGUUUUAUUUGAUCUUACUCAUCAUACUAUACUAAAAGUGGGCUUCAAAAGUAAAGUUUUACUUUGAUCUUAUUGUUCUGCUAUUUAGUUUGUUUACUAAAUUACAUAAAGAGUCUGUUUGGUAUGAAGGAAAACAUUUUCUGUGUUUUCCAAUGUUCCCAUGUUUGAUUGGGACAAAAGUUUCGAAAAAUGUUUUUCAAAUCAACUCAUUUUUUCCUCAAAAAUAAGGAAAAUGAUUUCCUUCAAAAAUUAAGAAAAAUAUUUUUCAUAACUCUCCGCCAAUUUUAAAUUAUAUUUUUUUGGGGAAAAACAUCAAUUUAAAUAAAUAUUUUCAAUUUCAAAAUUUUAUUUUUUCACCUGAUCCUUGACCCUUCCCCCACCGGCCAGCCCCCCCCCCCCCAAAAAAAAAACCUCCCCAAAAAAUUAAUUUUGUUUUUUAAAAAUAUUUUCAACUUCAGAUUUUUAUUUUUAAACUCCUCCCUCUCUCCCCCCGGCCAGCCCCCCACAAGUAUUUGAUAUAUUAUUUUUUCUAACUCCGUUUUUUAAUUAUUUUUUUUUGUUAAAUUAACACUAUUUGAAGAUUGGGCUAUGAAUAAGGGGAGGAAAUUUAGAUCUGCAAAUACAAGUAUUUUGUUUUGUAUUUUUUCAAA